AGUGAACGCUGGCGGCAGGCCUAACACAUGCAAGUCGAACGGCAACACAGUACGAGCUUGCUCUUACGGGUGGCGAGUGGCGGACGGGUGAGGAAUAAAUCGGCAUCUACUUUUUCGUGGGGGAUAACGUAGGGAAAUUUACGCUAAUACCGCAUACUACCUACGGGUUAAAUCAGGAGAUCUUCGGACCUUGCGCGAUUGAAUGAGCCGAUGUCUGAUUAGCUAGUUGGCGGGGUACAGGCCCACCAAGGCGACGAUCCGUAGCUGGUCUGAGAGGGUGAUGAGCGACACUGGGACUGAGACACGGUCCAGACUCCUACGGGAGGCAGCAGUGGGGAAUAUUGGACAAAGGGCGCAAGCCUGAACCAGCCAUACCGCGUGGGUGAAGAAGGCCUGCGGGUUGUAAAGCCCUUUUGUUGGGAAAGAAAAGCAGCAGGUGAAUACCCCGCUGUUCUGACGGUACCCAAAGAAUAAGCACCGGCUAACUUCGUG
rnacentral:rRNA from 1 species